GACGAACGCUGGCGGCGUGCUUAACACAUGCAAGUCGAACGGAAAGGCCUGCUUUCCCUUGUGGAUUGCGGGUACUCGAGUGGCGAACGGGUGAGUAACACGUGAGUGAUCUGCCCCCAACUUGGGUAUAAGCCUGGGAAACUGGGUCUAAUUCUCGAUAGGACUGCAGGGUGGUGCCUGUGGUGGAAAACGAUUUUCUAGUGGUUGGGGAUGAGCUCAUGGCGGAUCAGCUAGUUGGUGGGGUAAUGGCCUACCAAGGCGGAGAGGGGUAGCCGGCCUGAGAGGAUGAUAAGCCACACUGGAACUGAGAGACGGUCCAGACGCCGACGGGAGGCAGCAGUGGGGAAUAGUGGACAAGGGGCGCAAGCCUGAUCCAGCAAUACCGCGGGGGUGAAGAAGGCCUUCGGGGUGUAAAGACCUUUUGUUGGGAAAGAAAAGCAGCAGGUUAAUACACCGCUGUUCUGACGGUACCCAAAGAAUAAGCACCGGCUAACUUCGUG
rnacentral:rRNA from 1 species